rnacentral:misc_RNA from 1 species
GACAGAGGUGGCAAGCGUUGUCCGGAUUGACUGGGCGUAAAGCGCACGCAGGUGGUCGGGUAGGUGUGAUGUGAAAGCGCCCAGCUUAACUGGGCGAGGCCAUCGCAAACGGCACGACUUGAGCACGGGAGAGGUCGGUGGAAUUGCCGGAGGAGUAGUGAUAUACGUAGAUACCGGCAGGAACACUCAAGGCGAAGGCAGCCGACUGGCCCGUGUCUGACACUCAGGUGCGACAGCGUGGGGAGCAAACGGG